rnacentral:tRNA from 4 species
GUCAGGGUAGCUCAAGUGGUUAGAGCGCCGCCCUCAUAAAGCGGAGGUUGCGAGUUCGACUCUCGCCCCUGACA